GAGUAAUGUCUGGGAAACUGCCUGAUGGAGGGGGAUAACUACUGGAAACGGUAGCUAAUACCGCAUAACGUCGCAAGACCAAAGAGGGGGACCUUCGGGCCUCUUGCCAUCGGAUGUGCCCAGAUGGGAUUAGCUAGUAGGUGGGGUAACGGCUCACCUAGGCGACGAUCCCUAGCUGGUCUGAGAGGAUGACCAGCCACACUGGAACUGAGACACGGUCCAGACUCCUACGGGAGGCAGCAGUGGGGAAUAUUGCACAAUGGGCGCAAGCCUGAUGCAGCCAUGCCGCGUGUAUGAAGAAGGCCUUCGGGUUGUAAAGUACUUUCAGCGGGGAGGAAGGGAGUAAAGUUAAUACCUUUGCUCAUUGACGUUACCCGCAGAAGAAGCACCGGCUAACUCCGUGCCAGCAGCCGCGGUAAUACGGAGGGUGCAAGCGUUAAUCGGAAUUACUGGGCGUAAAGCGCACGCAGGCGGUUUGUUAAGUCAGAUGUGAAAUCCCCGGGCUCAACCUGGGAACUGCAUCUGAUACUGGCAAGCUUGAGUCUCGUAGAGGGGGGUAGAAUUCCAGGUGUAGCGGUGAAAUGCGUAGAGAUCUGGAGGAAUACCGGUGGCGAAGGCGGCCCCCUGGACGAAGACUGACGCUCAGGUGCGAAAGCGUGGGGAGCAAACAGGAUUAGAUACCCUGGUAGUCCACGCCGUAAACGAUGUCGACUUGGAGGUUGUGCCCUUGAGGCGUGGCUUCCGGAGCUAACGCGUUAAGUCGACCGCCUGGGGAGUACGGCCGCAAGGUUAAAACUCAAAUGAAUUGACGGGGGCCCGCACAAGCGGUGGAGCAUGUGGUUUAAUUCGAUGCAACGCGAAGAACCUUACCUGGUCUUGACAUCCACGGAAGUUUUCAGAGAUGAGAAUGUGCCUUCGGGAACCGUGAGACAGGUGCUGCAUGGCUGUCGUCAGCUCGUGUUGUGAAAUGUUGGGUUAAGUCCCGCAACGAGCGCAACCCUUAUCCUUUGUUGCCAGCGGUCCGGCCGGGAACUCAAAGGAGACUGCCAGUGAUAAACUGGAGGAAGGUGGGGAUGACGUCA
rnacentral:rRNA from 1 species